UGCUCUAAGUAAGACAAUUUAGAGUAACUCCUGCCCAGUGAUAAUUUCAACGGCCGCGGUAUCCUAACCGUGCAAAGGUAGCAUAAUCACUUGCCCAUUAAUUGUGGGCUAGAAUGAAAGGAUUAACGAAAUAAAAGCUGUCUCUAUAAGACCUCUAAAAAUUACCCUUUAACCGAAGAGUGUUAAAUAAUGUCGAAGGACAAGAAGACCCUAUAGAGCUUAAUUUAAACAAAUACACAAAAUUUACUAAAAUUCGGUUGGGGCGACCAGGGAAUUAUAAAUCAUCCCUAAAUAAAAGACAAAUUAGUCUAACUACUGACCCUUAAUUAAGAUCAAUAAAACAAGCUACCUUAGGGAUAACAGGCUAAUCCUACUAGAGAGUUCUUAUCAAUAGUGGGGUUUGGCACCUCGAUGUUGGCUUAGGGAAUCUAUGUGGCGCAAAAGUCACAUAAAGAUGGUUUGUUCAACCAAUAAUACCCU
rnacentral:rRNA from 1 species